UGUAGUUCUGGGUGAGACCAGCGGAGUCGGGGGAUGGUUUGUUGAGCUGAACGGACGACUAGGUCUCUGGGAGUGUUGUAGGGGAGAGGGACGGAGGAGUUUGGCGCAAAGCCUGCCGGGGCAUGGAGCCCCAAUGGGCUUUGUGCGCAUGUGCGAAGAGGUGAAGGGGCUUGGGGGGCCUCGCCUGGGAGUGUGAGGUGUUGCUGUCCCCCCAGGGCUCACCGGCCACCAUGGAGGUCCUGUGCCCCCAGCCCGUGAAACAGGAGGGCCAGGCUUCUGGGGGCCUGGCCCUCGACUCACCGUGGCACCGCUUCCGCCACUUCCACCUGGGGGAUGCACCAGGUCCCCGUGAGGCACUGGGCCGGCUGCGCGCCCUGUGCCGGGACUGGCUGCAGCCCGAGGUGCACACCAAGGAGCAGAUGCUAGAGCUGCUGGUGCUGGAGCAGUUCCUGAGCGCCUUCCCUGCCAACAUUCAGGCCUGGGUGUGCAGCCGGCAGCCCCAGAGCGGGGAGGAGGCCGUGGCCCUGCUGGAGGAGCUCUGGGGACCAGCGAUGAGGGCCCCUCGGGAUGUGACAGAAGGCUCCGGGGUCGGCCUCGGAAAAGAAGAAGGGGGAAUGAUCCCGUUAGGAGACGCGGCCUCGGGGGCUGAGGAGCCGGCGACGGGGGACACACAGGCCCCACGCCACUAUAAGCAAGAACCGGACAGCCCCGCGCUGACCCCGCCGGCCCCGCCUGCGCCCGGCCUGCCUCCCUUCCUGGCCGCCCCUGGCGCCACAUCCUGCCCUGAGUGCGGCAAGGCCGCCCUGAAGCCGACGCACCUGCUGCGCCACCGACAGAGCCACUCGGACGAGAAGCCACACGCCUGUCCUGAGUGCGGCAAGGCCUUCCGGCGCAAGGAGCACCUGCGGCGCCACCGCGGCACGCACCCCGGCAGCCCCGGGCCGGCCCUGCGCCCACUGCCUGCCCGCGAGAAGCCUCACGCCUGCUGCGAGUGCGGCAAGACCUUCUACUGGCGCGAGCACCUGGUGCGCCACCGUAAGACGCACUCGGGCGCGCGGCCGUUCGCCUGCUGGGAGUGCGGCAAGGGCUUUGGGCGCCGCGAGCACGUGCUGCGCCACCAGCGCAUCCACGGCCGGGCGGCGGGUGGCGCGGGCGGGCCAGGCACGCCGGGCCCCGAGGCCGGGGGGCCCUUCCCGCCCUGGCCCCUGGGGUAGCCGCUCCGCCUGCCGCGUCAUCGUGCCCGGCAGCCGACCUCCAGCACCCGCUCCUCUGCCCCCCACCCCUCACCCUGUGUUUAAACUGCCCGAUGCCCUAACAUCUUCUCUGUUCCUUCCUAGCUCUGUCCCAAAUCUCACUUUCCUGUUCACAUCUCACCUCCUGACCCCCCAGCCUUUCCCAUCCUCUGAAAAGGUACCUCCACAUUGCAUCCUUCUCCCCUCUCCCCCCUCCUUCCCUCUCCACCCACUCCCUACCCUGGAGAGGAACAAGGUAGGCCAGGAGCGCAGAAGAGGAGCACAGGGCAAGACCGGCAGGCAGAUCCCUUGAUGGAGAGGAGGCUAAAGGAAAGGGGCUGGGUCUUGCCCCUAGGAGACCCCCAGGACAGAUUGGGGGAUGGGGAAGGGGCCUGGCAGUGGACUCGUUGGUCUCGGUUUUCUCUGCACCCAGGAAGGCAUGAGAUGGACAGCGAUGCCUGCUCUGGGAAGCGAGUUGGAGACAAUUCACCAGCAUCUGCAGAGUAAUAAAAGUCACUGAUGAGGUUUGGGCACGCUCAGCAAGAAUGUCCCCAAGGAGGGAGAGGUCCUGCCUCCAGACUGCUCCUCAUCCUUCUCUUCAGCUCCUCCUGA